rnacentral:rRNA from 1 species
CCUACGGGUGGCAGCAGUGAGGAAUAUUGGUCAAUGGACGCAAGUCUGAACCAGCCAUGCCGCGUGCAGGAAGACGGCUCUAUGAGUUGUAAACUGCUUUUGUACGAGGGUAAACGCAGAUACGCGUAUCUGUCUGAAAGUAUCGUACGAAUAAGGAUCGGCUAACUCCGUGCCAGCAGCCGCGGUAAUACGGAGGAUUCAAGCGUUAUCCGGAUUUAUUGGGUUUAAAGGGUGCGUAGGCGGUCGGAUAAGUUAGAGGUGAAAUCCCGAGGCUCAACUUCGGAAUUGCCGUUGAUACUGGUCGGCGAGAGAGUAGUUGAGGUAGGCGGAAUGUAUGGUGUAGCGGUGAAAUGCUUAGAGAUCAUACAGAACACCGAUUGCGAAGGCAGCUUACCAAGCUACUUCUGACGUUGAGGCACGAAAGCGUGGGGAGCAAACAGGAUUAGAUACCCGUGUAGUC